rnacentral:rRNA from 1 species
AACCAGACUCCUACGGGAGGCAGCAGUGAGGAAUAUUGGUCAAUGGCCGUAAGGCUGAACCAGCCAAGUAGCGUGAGGGAAGACUGCCCUAUGGGUUGUAAACCUCUUUUAUGCGGGGAUAAAGGUGUCCACGUGUGGAUGUUUGCAGGUACCGCAUGAAUAAGGACCGGCUAAUUCCGUGCCAGCAGCCGCGGUAAUACGGAAGGUCCGGGCGUUAUCCGGAUUUAUUGGGUUUAAAGGGUGCGCAGGCGGAGGUGCAAGUCAGCGGUCAAAUUGCGGGGCUCAACCCCGUACUGCCGUUGAAACUGGCUGUCUUGAGAUGUCGAGAGGUAUGCGGAAUGCGCAGUGUAGCGGUGAAAUGCUUAGAUAUUGCGCAGAACUCCGAUUGCGAAGGCAGCAUACCGGCGGCGAUCUGACGCUGAGGCACGAAAGCGUGGGUAUCGAACAGGAUUAGAUACCCGGGUA